rnacentral:rRNA from 1 species
UACGAAGGGGGCUAGCGUUGUUCGGAAUUACUGGGCGUAAAGGGCGCGUAGGCGGUCCUGAUCGUCGGAUGUGAAAGGCCUGGGCUCAACCUGGGAAUGGCAUCCGAUACGGCGGGACUGGAGUGUGGGAGAGGUUGGUGGAAUUCCCAGUGUAGAGGUGAAAUUCGUAGAUAUUGGGAAGAACACCAGUGGCGAAGGCGGCUCACUGGCCCGGUACUGACGCUGAGGUGCGAAAGCGUGGGGAGCAAACAGG